UUAACUUUAGGUUUUCACCACAAGUGUUUCGUGUUUAAUAUUUAAAACUUGAAAAUAUGAUAGACUUUUUUUUUACAUAAAUAAUUUGUAAAACAAUUGUUAUUUCUUUACUUUAAUAGACUGGAAUUGUUGAAGGAAAUCCACUUUUGUCACUGAAGUGUGCCUGUCGGCGAAGUAGCCGAAUCCUCUAUCCAACCCGCUGAAAUGCAAAAGCAAAUAUUAUUAUAGCGUUUUAAACAUCCUUUUAUACACCCCAAACAUAUGGCAGCUUCAACACAACAUCUGUUUACUGCCAUUGGAAUUAGCAUCAGAAUAUCUACCGCUAGAACAAGUGCUUUUCUGCAUGAGCAGACAAGACAAAAGUCUAAUGCGGAGAGAUCAGCACGAGCACACGACGUUCUGAAAGGACGUGGCACGACGCGGGCAGAUGUCCUGAAUCUCCUGCGGUUCCAGGGUGAAUGAACUGAAAGACGACAACCACGUGGUGGUAGAACACGUCUGUUUCCAGACCAACAGGAGGCUGCCAUUGUGCUUAUGGUAGAUGAAAAUAAUGCCAUAAGACUGUGGGAAAUUUAAAAAUUCAAUUUAUCGAAGACGAGGAAGAGGGGAAGGAACAUCAUUGGUCAACGGGCCAUCACUGAGGUACCUGGCCAGCGCAGGUACCACCCUUGGACCAUACAACACUACCCAUCUCCUUAAUUUCCUGAACACCUUACAUGACAAUCUUUUUCAGCCAGAGCAGAGAAGGCCAGGUGAUCCUGAGCAGGAAAUGUAUGUUCUAAUUUGGGACAACAUGAGUUUCUAUCAGGCUGCUCAGGUCCGUAACUUGUUCCAUGACCAUCCCAGGUUUACGAUUCUCUAUCUCCCACCAUAUUCCCCAUUUCUCAACCCCACUGAGGAGUUUUCAGCAUGGCCGUGGAAGGUGUAUGAUCACAAACCCCGUAAACGUGUGUUGACAUUCCAGCAGAGUCCUUUCAGGGGUGAAUGUGUCAUGGCAGGAGAUAUUUCCCUGCUGUCUGGCCAAGGAGAAUAUCACCUGUGAUGUUGAUGGAAAUCUGUGGCUGGACCAAAACAACACACAUGACUGAUUUUGUUUUCUCAAUGGAGUAUUUGUUUCUUGACUUAUGAUUUAGAUUUGACAGUUUUUUUUAAUCUCUUCCAUUCAAUUGAUGGAACAUACAGUACAGUAGUAUAAAUAGGACUAUUUUUCUUCCUUUGCAUAUGCAAAAUAUAUUUACUGUAUAAUUGCCUUUUUACUGGAUGUGUGCUUACAGCCUUCCCUGUAGCUCAGUUGGUAGAGCAUGGUGUGUGCAACGCCAGGGUUGUGGGUUCGAUUCCCAUGGGGGGCCAGCACAAAAAAGAAAUGUAUGCAUUCACUACUGUAAGUCGCUCUGGAUAAGAGCGUCUGCUAAAUGACUAAAAUGUAAGUAUACUGUUUGAUAUGUAAUGAGUCAUGUUGAAAU
rnacentral:lncRNA from 1 species